rnacentral:rRNA from 1 species
GACGAACGCUGGCGGCGUGCUUAACACAUGCAAGUCGAGCGGUAAGGCCCUUUCGGGGGUACACGAGCGGCGAACGGGUGAGUAACACGUGGGUGACCUGCCCUCGGCUCUGGGAUAAGCCUGGGAAACCGGGUCUAAUACUGGAUAUGACUCCAUGACGCAUGUUGUGGGGUGGAAAGCCUUGUGCGGCUGAGGAUGGGCCCGCGGCCUAUCAGCUUGUUGGUGGGGUGAUGGCCUACCAAGGCGACGACGGGUAGCCGGCCUGAGAGGGCGACCGGCCGACACUGGGACUGAGACACGGCCCAGACUCCUACGGGAGGCAGCAGUGGGGAAUAUUGGACAAUGGGCGCAAGCCUGAUCCAGCGAUGCCGCGUGUGUGAAGAAGGCCUGCGGGUUGUAAAGCACUUUNAGUAGGGAAGAAAGCCGAGUGCUAAUAUCAUUCGGUCUUGACGUUACUUACAGAAGAAGCACCGGCUAACU